rfam:Mycobacterium sp. KMS, complete genome.
GGCAAGUUUCUUCGGGGCGGAGCUCGACCGCCAACACAAGAAAUAGUCGCGUUCAUCGACGACAAUCGCGAGGAUUUCGGGGUCGAGCCCAUCUGCACGGUCCUGCGCAGCGCAGGCCUGCAGGUGGCCCCG